CGUAGGGUGCGAGCGUUGUCCGGAAUUAUUGGGCGUAAAGAGCUCGUAGGCGGCUUGUCGCGUCGACUGUGAAAACCCGCAGCUCAACUGCGGGCCUGCAGUCGAUACGGGCAGGCUAGAGUUCGGUAGGGGAGACUGGAAUUCCUGGUGUAGCGGUGAAAUGCGCAGAUAUCAGGAGGAACACCGAUGGCGAAGGCAGGUCUCUGGGCCGAUACUGACGCUGAGGAGCGAAAGCGUGGGGAGCGAACAGGAUUAGAUACCCUGGUAGUCCACGCUGUAAACGUUGGGCGCUAGGUGUGGGGGGCCUCUCCGGUUCCCUGUGCCGCAGCUAACGCAUUAAGCGCCCCGCCUGGGGAGUACGGCCGCAAGGCUA
rnacentral:rRNA from 1 species